rnacentral:rRNA from 1 species
UACGGAGGGGGCUAGCGUUGUUCGGAAUUACUGGGCGUAAAGGGCGCGUAGGCGGUCUUGUAAGUCUCGUGUGAAAUCCCUCGGCUUAACUGAGGAACUGCACGGGAUACUGCUUGACUUGAGUUCGGGAGAGGGAAGCGGAAUUCCGGGUGUAGCGGUGAAAUGCGUAGAUAUCCGGAGGAACACCGGUGGCGAAGGCGGCUUCCUGGACCGACACUGACGCUGAGGCGCGAAAGCUAGGGGAGCAAACGGG